UACGGGGGGAGCAAACGUUGUUCGGAAUCACUGGGCGUAAAGGGCGCGUAGGCGGCCAGAUAAGUGGGGUGUUAAAUCUCCCGGCUCAACCGGGAACCUGCACCUCAUACUGCCUGGCUUGAGUACAGCAGAGGAGACUGGAAUUCCCGGUGUAGCGGUGAAAUGCGUAGAUAUCUGGAGGAACACCGGUGGCGAAGGCGGCAUCCUGGACCAACACUGACACUGAGGAGCGAAAGCCAGGGGAGCAAACGGG
rnacentral:rRNA from 1 species